rnacentral:rRNA from 1 species
ACGGGUGAGUAAUGUCUGGGGAUCUGCCCGAUAGAGGGGGAUAACCACUGGAAACGGUGGCUAAUACCGCAUAACGUCGCAAGACCAAAGAGGGGGACCUUCGGGCCUCUCACUAUCGGAUGAACCCAGAUGGGAUUAGCUAGUAGGCGGGGUAAUGGCCCACCUAGGCGACGAUCCCUAGCUGGUCUGAGAGGAUGACCAGCCACACUGGAACUGAGACACGGUCCAGACUCCUACGGGAGGCAGCAGUGGGGAAUAUUGCACAAUGGGCGCAAGCCUGAUGCAGCCAUGCCGCGUGUAUGAAGAAGGCCUUCGGGUUGUAAAGUACUUUCAGCGGGGAGGAAGGCGGUGAGGUUAAUAACCUUGCCGAUUGACGUUACCCGCAGAAGAAGCACCGGCUAACUCCGUGCCAGCAGCCGCGGUAAUACGGAGGGUGCAAGCGUUAAUCGGAAUUACUGGGCGUAAAGCGCACGCAGGCGGUCUGUUAAGUCAGAUGUGAAAUCCCCGGGCUUAACCUGGGAACUGCAUUUGAAACUGGCAGGCUUGAGUCUCGUAGAGGGGGGUAGAAUUCCAGGUGUAGCGG